rnacentral:lncRNA from 1 species
UGAAAUUGCUGCCAGAAGCAGCCAGCUGGGAAGCAGAUUCAUUGUUAGCAAGUGGCUGCAGUAAACACGCAAGGAGCAGGUCCCCUUAGGGCUGCUGUGUGGGAAGAGAGAGAGAUAAAUGAAGCUUUGGGGACCCGUACUGGGAGGAAAUGAUGCAGCAGCUGGAAUGAGGGAGUCACAAAAAACAUUCUUUGACCUUAAUACUCAGGACUCCCAAUGACAAGAGCCUUUUCAAGAACUUCUGUAUUGAAAGGUUAUGAAGUCUAACUCCAGAGUCUGCGACAAACAGGAAACACUCAAGAAAGCAGGAUAGGAGUUGAAUUCCGGGGCCUGGGAGCAUGAACUCAGUUUUGGCCCUGCCAGCAAGAUGGAACUUGCUCCAGAGAUGGCUGGACUCAGGAACUGUCCUAACAAGGGAAAGGAGUGGAAAAUGCAGCCACUGAGAUCUGAAUCAAGCAUCGUGAUGAUCAUGGACGAGCCCUCUGAAGCUGCAAGCAAGCUCUCAGUUAACUUCCUUUCUUAAUUUUCCUUGGUCAUGGUGUCUUGUCAAGGAAACAGAACAAUAGCUUAAUGAGCAUCCUAAGCAGAAUAAAUAUGCAUCUGAAAAAUUCAGGUAUACACUGAGAAAAAUGGGGGAGUGUUGAUGUCAUCGGAUUUUUGAAGAGCAAAGGACAAUGUGACAUUGAU